UACGAAGGGGGCAAGCGUUGUUCGGAAUUACUGGGCGUAAAGGGAGUGUAGGCGGUUUAGUAAGAUAGUGGUGAAAUCCCAGAGCUUAACUUUGGAAUUGCCAUUAUAACUAUUAGACUAGAAUUAUAGAGAGGAUAGUGGAAUACCCAGUGUAGAGGUGAAAUUCGUAGAUAUUGGGUAGAACACCAGUGGCGAAGGCGACUAUCUGGCUAUAUAUUGACGCUGAGGCUCGAAAGCAUGGGGAUCAAACAGG
rnacentral:rRNA from 1 species